AGUGGCGCACGGGUGCGUAACGCGUGGGAACCUGCCCUUAGGUUCGGAAUAACUCAGAGAAAUUUGAGCUAAUACCGGAUAAUGUCUUCGGACCAAAGAUUUAUCGCCUUUGGAUGGGCCCGCGUAGGAUUAGAUAGUUGGUGGGGUAAUGGCCUACCAAGUCGACGAUCCUUAGCUGGUCUGAGAGGAUGAUCAGCCACACUGGGACUGAGACACGGCCCAGACUCCUACGGGAGGCAGCAGUGGGGAAUAUUGGACAAUGGGCGAAAGCCUGAUCCAGCAAUGCCGCGUGAGUGAUGAAGGCCUUAGGGUUGUAAAGCUCUUUUACCAGGGAUGAUAAUGACAGUACCUGGAGAAUAAGCUCCGGCUAACUCCGUGCCAGCAGCCGCGGUAAUACGGAGGGAGCUAGCGUUGUUCGGAAUUACUGGGCGUAAAGCGCACGUAGGCGGCUUUUCAAGUCAGGGGUGAAAUCCCGGGGCUCAACCCCGGAACUGCCCUUGAAACUGGAUGGCUAGAAUACUGGAG
rnacentral:rRNA from 1 species